UUGAGCAAGAGAAGGGCGUUUGGUGGAUGCCUUGGCACUAGGAGGCGAUGAAGGACGUGGCACGCUGCGAAAAUCCUGGAGGAGCUGCGAGCAAGCUUUGAUCCCAGGGUGUCCGAAUGGGGCAACCCACCCCUAUGGGGUAUCAUGCAGUGAAUACAUAGGUGCAUGAGGCGAACCCGGGGAACUGAAACAUCUCAGUACCUGGAGGAAAAGACAUCAACGGAGAUUCCGCUAGUAGUGGCGAGCGAACGCGGAUCAGGCCAGUGGCCACUUCAACUGAAGCAGAACGGCAUGGAAAGGCCGGCCUAAGCGGGUGAUAGCCCCGUAAGCGUAGGGUUGUUGUGGUCCUUGAGUAGGGCGGGGCACGUGAAACCCUGUCUGAACGUAGGGGGACCACCCUCUAAGCCUAAAUACUCCCUAGUGACCGAUAGUGAACCAGUACCGUGAGGGAAAGGUGAAAAGCACCCCGAUGAGGGGAGUGAAAGAGACCUGAAACCGAACGCCUACAAGCAGUCGGGGCUCCUUAUGGAGUGACGGCGUACCUUUUGUAUAAUGGGUCAGCGAGUUUCUGUUGCCAGCGAGCUUAAGCCGUUAGGUGUAGGCGCAGCGAAAGCGAGUCUGAAUAGGGCGUUGAGUUGGCGGUAGAAGACCCGAAACCGAGUGAUCUAGCCAUGGCCAGGCUGAAGGUGGGGUAACACCCACUGGAGGGCCGAACCCACGCCUGUUGAAAAAGUCGGGGAUGAGCUGUGGCUAGGGGUGAAAGGCCAAUCAAACUCGGAGAUAGCUGGUUCUCCGCGAAAUCUAUUGAGGUAGAUCGUC
rnacentral:rRNA from 1 species